UACGUAGGGUGCGAGCGUUGUCCGGAAUUACUGGGCGUAAAGAGCUCGUAGGUGGUUUGUCGCGUUGUUCGUGAAAACUCACAGCUUAACUGUGGGCGUGCGGGCGAUACGGGCAGACUGGAGUACUGCAGGGGAGACUGGAAUUCCUGGUGUAGCGGUGAAAAUGCGCAGAUAUCAGGAGGAACACCAACGGCGAAAGGGCAGCACUCUGGGGCCGGUAUUUGACGCUGAGGGAGCGAAAAGCGUGGGGGAGCAAA
rnacentral:rRNA from 1 species